AAAAAAAAGAGAGAAGAGAAAAGAAAUUUUACAAUGUCAAUGUUGAUUUAACAAAUUGCUAUAUUAACUGAUACUGAUAGUUGCCUUAACCUUAACACCAUGUGGCAAUAUUGAUUGGAUGAAGCUUUAAAUGAUAGUAGAAAGGUGCAUUAAUUAGAAAAAUAAACAUAGUAAGAUUGAAUAGACAAAAAAAAAAUUCUCUCUUUGCUUUAAAUGUUACAUAUACAACAAAGAAUUAGCUAGCUGUUAUGGUUUUCUAACGUUGGCUAGAUAUUUCCAAUUGUGUAUCAAGAAACGGUUGAAAUAGCGAUUAUGGCUGAUUCAAAGGAGAGAGUGAUGUAGAAUAGGUUACGGGAUUGGUUGUUAGGAUUCAGUUUGGGCUAUUUUGAAAGCUAAGGAAAGUAGAAACUCUGGUAGACAACUCAGUUUUCCAAUAAACUAUGAUUUGGAAGCAAAAUAGCAUGAGAGGCAAAUGUUUGAGGAGUUGUUUGAAUGUUGGUCAUUGUGAAUUGCACAAUUAACAGGAAAACAAGAGGGUUUAGGCUUCACACCUAAACUUCCUUAGGUAUCAUACUUGGGUGCAUCAUAUAGCCUGAGUAUAGAUUUUUAUACACUCAAAGACCAAAGUAAUACUAAACCUUCAAAAUAUUGGACACUUAGGUUGUCCUAAUCAUGGUUUCAAAUCACGGUCACAGUUGAGCUCAUGGUCAUAGGUAGCAAAAAUAGACCUAUAACGGCCAUAACUUAAUGGUAACGGCCUAUCGCUAUGCAA
rnacentral:misc_RNA from 1 species